rnacentral:rRNA from 1 species
CUUCGCACGUAGGUGACCUGCGGAAGGACAUUACU